GACGGAGGGUGGCUAGCGUUGUUCGGAAUUUACUGGGCGUAAAGGGCGCGUAGGCGGCCUGGUCAGUACGGAUGUGAAAGCCCCGGGGCUCAACCCCCGGAACGGCAAUCCGAGACGGCCAGGCUGGAGACCGGGAGAGGAGGGUGGAAUAGCCAGUGUAGAGGUGAAAUUCGUAGAUAUUGGCUGGAACACCGGUGGCCGAAAGCGGCUCUCGUGGCCCGGGUCUGACGGCUGAGGCGCGAAAGCGUGGGGAGCAACAGGG
rnacentral:rRNA from 1 species